rnacentral:lncRNA from 1 species
GAAAAAAAACCAAAGCAUUAAACCUGCAAAAUGGUCAGAAGAAAACACUCCUCUGCCAGUGUUCAGCAUGUGGGGACUCAGGGUCGAGGUGGAUCUGACAUAAAGAUCAUGACGGCAAAGGAGACAGACACAACAUGAUGACACGGAUACCAAUAGAGUCAUUCAGCUCCAUCUGCCUUACAGACAUCGACAGAUCCCAGUGAAGAGACAUUGUUUUCAUCACAAACACACUUUGGGUUCCUGGAAAGUCAUCAAGUAGCCCACAUUCCACAGAUGCAGCCUAC